ensembl:ncRNA H19M22.4 ncRNA
AUGGAGAAGGGCGUGGUGCCCGUUUUCUCGUCUCUCGCCCAAGAAGUACCUGUACGUGAAGAAGACGGUAUGGAAGAAGAAGAAGAAGAAAAGGGAGAGGUUUGCUUGUGUUGUAUAUGUUGUAUAUGCUGGAGGGGUUGGGGGGUGUCCUGUGAAAACCCCCUCUCUUUCUUCGUUGUAUAGGUUCCGCACACUUCAAAAACUAGUUUAAUCAUUGUUUCUCCAGGAUGGAAUGCCGAGCUCUGUUGUGGAAGCUUGAGUCCAGAGAUGGGAGAUACUUGCCGUUCGGCAAAUUCGGCAAAUUGCUGGUUUACCGAUUUGCCGGAUAUCAACUUGCCGGAAGUUUUUGAAGGGAUGUUUCAUAAAACGAGAAGACUUGAAACGGUGCCUUUUAGAAAAAAUUGUCUCUUUUUCUCUGGAUAUUUCAUAGAAUUUACUGAUUUUUUGAGAUAGAUUAUAGGAAAAAAAUUGACGCUUUGCCGGAAAUUUCAAUUCCGGUAAUCUGCCGGUUGGCCGGAAAUUUUCAUUUUUGGAAAAUUGCCGGUUUGCCAAUUUGCCGAAAUUUUUCAUUUUUGAGAAAUUGCGGGUUUGCCGAAAUUGCCGAAAAUUUGAAAAACGACGACUUUGCCGUUUGCCAAAAAUGUUUAAUUCUGACAAGUGCCGAAUUUGCCGAUUCGCCAGGAAAAAAGAAACUAUAUUUCGGCAAAUUUUGAAA